AUGGCUGCUGGGAUGUGGCCAUGGGAACGAUCUUCUUAUCGCAGACUGUACUUGGAAUCCUGGGGAUUUCUCUCUUAUUUACCAUUAUCUGUCCUUUUACAUCACUGGGUGCAGGUUAAGGUCCACAGAUUUGAUGAUCAGACACCUAAUUGUAGCCAACACCGUAUUCCUCCUCCCUAGAGGAGUCCCACAGACAAUGGCAGCUUUUGGGUUUAGGCAUUUCCGGAGUGAUUCUGGAUGUAAAUUUCUUUUUUGUGUCCACAGAGUUGUCAGGGGAGUGUCCAUUGGCAGCACCUGCCUCCUGAGUGUCUCCCAGGCCAUCACCAUCAGCCCCAGGAGCUCAGGUGGGCAGAGCUUAAAGGGAACGCCCCCAAGCACGCUGGCUCCUGUGUGUUCCUCAGCUGGCUCCUCCCUGGUCAAUAUCAUUGUUCUCAUGCACGUGACCGGCAAGUGGAGCAACAAAAAUACCACAAAGACAAAAGAUCUGGGAUACUGUUCUGCUGCUGAUCACGAGGACACCAGAGAGUCGCUGACGCGGCACUGCUGUCCUUCCCUGAUGUGAUCUGCCUGGGGCUCAUGCUCUGGGGCAGCAGCUCCAUCGUUUGCAUCCUGCACAGGCACAAGCGGCGGGUCCAGCACAUUCAUAGGACCAGCGUCUCCCCCACAUCCUCCCCUGAGUCCGGAGCUACCAAAACCAUCCUCCUGGUGAGCACGUUUGUGUCCUUUUACACUCUCUCUUCACCUUUCAAGUUUGUUUGGCUCUUUUGAAUAAUCCCAGUCAGCUGGUGGUGAACAUCUCUGCAAUGAUCAGUGCAGGUUUCCCAGCUGUCAGCCCCUUUCUUCUCAUGAGUGGGGACUCCUGUGUAUCCAAGCUUUGCUUUGCUUAG
rnacentral:lncRNA from 1 species